GACGAACGCUGGCGGCGUGCUUAACACAUGCAAGUCGAACGGAAAGGCCCUGCUUUUGUGGGGUGCUCGAGUGGCGAACGGGUGAGUAACACGUGAGUAACCUGCCCUUGACUUUGGGAUAACUUCAGGAAACUGGGGCUAAUACCGGAUAGGAGCUCCUGCUGCAUGGUGGGGGCUGGAAAGUUUCGGCGGUUGGGGAUGGACUGGCGGCUUAUCAGCUUGUUGGUGGGGUAGUGGCUUACCAAGGCGAUGACGGGUAGCCGGCGUGAGAGGGUGACCGGCGACAGGGGGAGUGGGACAGGGGCCAGAGUGAUAAGGGAGGCAGGAGUGGGGAAUUUUGGACAGUGGGCGGAAGGCUGAUCCAGCAGUGCCGCGUGUGUGACGAAGGCCUCAGGGUGGUAAAGAAGUUUUGUGCGGAAAGAAAUACGGGGCCCUAAUACGGGCGGGGGAUGACGGUAACGGAAGAAGAAGCACCGGCUAACUACGUG
rnacentral:rRNA from 1 species